GAUUUCUGGUUCGGCGCACUUGGCCCGCUCCGGUUACGGAGUUGUGUGCCGGUGUGCGCCAUCCAUCCUUCUAGAGUACGACUCUCCCUUCACUGGGUUGGGCCGGAAUCUAGAUCAUUUACUUUGAAAAAAUUAGAGUGUUUCAAGCAGGCUUUAUGCUAUGAAUACAUUAGCAUGGAAUAAUAAUUUAGGACUUCGGUUCUAUUUUGUUGGUUUCUAGGACUGAAAUAAUGAUUGAUAGGGACAGUUGGGGGUGCUAGUAUUCAGCGGCCAGAGGUGAAAUUCUCGGAUUCGCUGAAGACUAACUUAUGCGAAAGCAUU
rnacentral:rRNA from 1 species